rnacentral:rRNA from 1 species
UACGGAGGGUGCAAGCGUUGUCCGGAAUCACUGGGCGUAAAGGGCGCGUAGGCGGCUCGGUAAGUAGGGGGUGAAAUCCUGCGGCUUAACCGCAGGGCUGCCUUCUAAACUGUCGAGCUCGAGCACGGUAGAGGCAGAUGGAAUUCCCGGUGUAGCGGUGGAAUGCGUAGAGAUCGGGAAGAACAGCAGUGGCGAAGGCGGUCUGCUUGGCCGUUGCUGACGCUGAGGCGCGACAGCGUGGGGAGCAAACAGG